AGUGCUGGGCGCAGCCGCGCCUCGCGCCUCCCGCCCCCCGGGGCUGCGGCGGGGACGCUUCUCUGGAGGGUGUGGCGGAAACUUGAGGCUUGGAGUCCGCGGGACCGGAAGGGGCUCCGUAGCUCGGGGCAGGGUGGGCGCGAGAGAGCCUAGAAGCCCAUGUAGCCGCGAAUCCCGCAGCCCCAGUACACCUCCCUCCGUGCCUCCCCGCCUUUUCUGCAGAGCUCCGCCCUGGAGUGAAGGAGGAGCCGUCACCUGGAGCUCCGAAAAAAGCAGAAGAAGGCGCUUUUUAUUUAGCCAGUGUGACCCCGCCAGGGCCUUCUCGGUUGGGUGAGCACUCUCUCUGACCAGGCCAUGAAAAGAAAAAUCUGUGCGAUGCCUCCCCACAUGUCACGGGACUCUGACUUGCCUUUGUCGUCAGAGUUUGCAGAACUUUGGGGGACCUGAGAGGGGAGUGCCCCCUGGACGGGCCACGGCUGUCUGUGGCUUAAGGGCUUUUGGAAGGGCGGAGAGAGGGAAACGGCGUCCUAGUGGCCUGCUUCAGGGCCACCCACGGGCCCUCCCCCAACCUCUCUCUGAUCCAACUUGUUUUUCCAGCCUAGUUGGAAACUUGUGGAUGCUGUGACCUCAAGAAGACUUGGCAUUUUAUUUGGAAGAUAGACAUCUAUUUGCAACUGUCCUGAGCCCCUAUUUUCCUCCCACCUUUCUUGGGGAAACUUGUUUUUAAGGGAUGCCACUGUUUUUGUAACAUGUUGCUCCUAGCUCUUAGCAUUCAUGGUACUGUUGUAACCGUCCAGUGGGUUCACUUUGUCUGCUAGAUAGAGCCGAUUUAUCAAGACGGGGAUUACAAUGGAGAAAGAGUAAUUCACGCAGAGCCGGCUUUGCAGAUAAAACUCUGCAAAGACAAUGUCUAGCACUUAUAUCUCCAGUAACUCCUGUCAAGGUUUAUUGUUGCUUGUUCAUCAUUGCAGUCCUGACUACAAGUGUGAUUGCACUUUCUAUUGUUUUGUCAGGCAUAAGAAAUUAGACAUUGAGUCAAACGUUCUGUGUCUCAUUAGAAGCCAGCCUUGCUCAGUUUGCAACUAUGGAGGAACUGAAUUUCCUGAAAAGAUACAAAGGCCCUUCUGACCAUUGGAUUGGCCUUAGAAGAGAAUCAUCCCAUCGCAUUUGGAAAUGGACAGACAACAUGGAAUAUAAUAACAUGCUUGCUAUCAGAGGAAGUGGAGAAUGUGCCUUCCUGAAUGACAAUGGAGUCAACAGUGGCAGAAUCUACAUGAACAGAAAAUGGAUUUGUAGCAAGCCAAACAAUUAUGUCUACAGUUGCCAGUUAUGUCCCCACUGGGAUACUACCUAGUAGAGCUGUGAGAAGAGGGCCACCAUCCUCCAGACUCCAGAAUGGUGGAAUCAGCAGCAGCUUCCACCAUGCCCCUGGAAAAACUGCAAGUAACAGACCUGCACAUGUAUCCCCUACAUCUAAAAUAAAAGUUGGAAAAAAUGGAACUUUGAUGUUAAGAUGCACUGAUACAAAACUUAAAUUUUGGUCUCCUACAUUAAAACAAUAUGAGUCUCUUAAAAUAUUGAUUUGUUCUUAGUAAGAUUACAAGAGGCUUUGAUUUUUAAUUCUGCAAUGUUUCCUUAACAGCCAUUCUGAAUUACAAACUAAUUCCUAUUUCUGCCACAUUCCUUCCUGAGAACUGUCUAGUCCUGGUUUGGGAUUUAUCUUAAAGGUCUAGAAAGGCAACAUUUUACUUCAGCAAAACUUGAUUCUAUAUUGUUGUUUUUUCUUAAUGUGUCAAAAUUGUUUUGUUACUAGGAUUUCCUAUGUUGUUAUUAAAUGUAUUCCCCUGAUCAAGGUCACUGGCCUAGAAAACAAAGAUUCUGUGUUUUACCAAGAUAAUUCCCAGUGCUUCAUGGUGUCUUUAUUAGGCUUUGACUGCUUAGGGAAACUGAGCCUUAAAAGGGUAAAAGUUUUUCCAUCCAUGUAACUUUCUGAGGUCUUUAGGUUGUCACUCUGAUUAAAUGAGUAGUAUUCUUAGCAGUGACUUAUUAUCUGUUGAAGGAAGUAUUUUAAGCUUUUUGACAUCUUUGGCAGGUUUCUCUAGAAUCCAAAUCCUAAAUUAAGCCUUUUGGCCUAAAAAUGACUGGGAUUUUUCCAGGUGGACCCCCUAGAUAUGCUCCUCCAAAGGCUUGUCUUUCUUGUAGAGUUAUUAAAUGAUUAGGCUUAUUUGGCAAAUACUGCUAGAAGCAUUGUCAAAUAAGAAAUGGUGUUUUACCUUUCUUUAAGCUGUGUUUGUGUAAGUUCAUCAUUUAUAGAAAUGUGAAAUUUUAUGAGAUUCCUAAGAUACUGACAUGCUGAGAUACCUGUAAUAAUUGCAAUUUUUAUGUUGGAUGAUUGUAUGCCACAGAAGCACUUAAAUUUCCUGGUUAAUUGGUAACGUUAAUCAGAUCUUUACCUAUGGCUGUUCUGGGUUUUUGUCAUUCACAGUUAUUAUUUUAAUUUCUUCUUUGGAAGCGUUCGCAAUCAGCUAUAGUCCAAAAUUGCUAAUUAAGAUCAAGCAAAACAAAAUUAAUUACGUAAAAUUAAUUUAUAAGGAUGUUUUUAUGACGUAAAUGUUUUAUUUUCCAGAGCCAAGGAAAUUUUCUGUCACAAGCUAUCUACCGUUUGCAAUAAUUUGAUAAAUAAUCCUUUGUGAACAAA